rnacentral:lncRNA from 1 species
CCAGUCUUUUAUAGAUAACUUAAGCAGUGAUUUAGGGUAACAUUAACAUAUGUGCCUUUUCCCUUUCAUAAGCUCAACAGCCCAACAUGCAGUUUCAUUGUACGUUCUGUGUUUAAUGUGUGUUUCCCCCCAUCUCCACAUUUACACAAUAGCAAAGUAAUUUAGGUGUGAGCUGGUCAGUCAGGUACAUAAGCCGAUCUGGCUAUCCUGAGUUUUCUUUUCCCUUCA